CUUGGUCAUUUAGAGGAAGUAAAAGUCGUAACAAGGUUUCCGUAGGUGAACCUGCGGAAGGAUCAUUAUCGAAUUAUAAGCGAAGGUUGUAGCUGGCCCUCCCGGGGGCAACGUGCACGCCCGAGCUCUUAAUCCACUUACACCUGUGAACUCAAUGUGGGACCGUCCUUCGGGACGAUUCUCAUGUCUUUCAUAUACUCUUAUGUAUGUCACGGAAUGUCUUGUCGUUGCUUUAACGCAAUCAAUACAACUUUCAACAACGGAUCUCUUGGCUCUCGCAUCGAUGAAGAACGCAGCGAAAUGCGAUACGUAAUGUGAAUUGCAGAAUUCAGUGAAUCAUCGAAUCUUUGAACGCACCUUGCGCCCCUUGGUAUUCCGAGGGGCACACCCGUUUGAGUGUCGUGAAAUUCUCAAACCUUCUUGGUUUCUUGAUCAAGAUGGCUUUGGACUUUGGAGGCAUUUGCUGGCUUUGCGAAAAGCCAGCUCCUCUCGAAUGCAUUAGUGGGGUCCCCUUUGCCGAUCCCCAGGCGUGAUAAGAUGUUUCUACGUCUUGGGAUUUGCUCUGUUCCUUGGGAACCCGCUUCUAACCGUCUCAUGGAAGACAUUGUUCGAGCUUGCUCGACCCACGAACCUUGACCUCAAAUCGGGUGAGACUACCCGCUGAACUUAAGCAUAUCAAUAAGCGGAGGA
rnacentral:rRNA from 1 species